rnacentral:rRNA from 1 species
ACAGCAGUCGCCACGGGAAUACAGAGGGUGCGAGCGUUAAUCGGAUUUACUGGGCGUAAAGCGUGCGUAGGCGGCUAAUUGAGUCGGAUGUGAAAUCCCCGAGCUUAACUUGGGAAUUGCAUUCGAUACUGGUUAGCUAGAGUGUGGGAGAGGAUGGUAGAAUUCCAGGUGUAGCGGUGAAAUGCGUAGAGAUCUGGAGGAAUACCGAUGGCGAAGGCAGCCAUCUGGCCUAACACUGACGCUGAGGUACGAAAGCAUGGGGAGCAAACAGGAUUAGAUACCCCGGUAGUCCCUGUCUCUUAUAA